AUUCAUCGAUUUACAGCCAAUUUCUAUAACUUAUCUAUCCUUCGUUUUGGCGAUUAGAGAUUGAGAUGUGUCAAGUUAUACGGAGGUUAUGAUGAAAUUCAAUCUUCGGUUGAAAAAAAGGUUAGAUACGUUAUAGAAAUUUGCAGUUCACCAAAAUGUAAAAGCUUUUUCAAAAUGUUAGUCUUUCGAUAUGCUCAAAUCGUGCCAAGAGCAUUUUUGUUUUUCAGAAUUUGAACGCAUUCUUAAGCAUUGGGUAUUUGACACUUUAAAACUGUCAUUAAUAUAAGUUGGCAACAUUAGUUCUGUAAAUAAUGGCGUCCUAAGGCUGAUUGUCAGUCACGGCGGCUGUUCUCAUAUAAGGAGAUCAGUCAGUUGCGCAGGACAUAUUAUAGUGCACGAGCAUUAGCUUGGACUGCGGUGCACUCACUAUUCCUUCACUCUCAUAGCGCGAUGCGACGACAAUUCGACACCACCGGAGAGAUAUCAAAAUUCUAUCAAUUGAAUAUUUAAAAUACUGUUAUAGGCAUCAUUCGUUUUGAAAUACCAUCUAUCUUUAAACAAAAUUCCGUCGCAAUCUAUUAUUCCUCCAUUUUAAAUCAAUUUCUUAUUUUGCAAUAUUUAUUUUGUAAGAAAGUUGUCAAGUACCCAACAAGAAAAAAUCCGUCAAUAAGGCCCAUUUACACCGACAACAUAAACGUCCGUUUUUUUCAAAACAACAGUUCACUUUGAAAAUUGAACGUGAAAAUUCACAGUCAACAAUUGUUUUAAGAAAACUGACGUUUAUGUGGUUAGUGUACUUGGGUUUUUAAUAAUACUUAGUUACCGGCCAUUUUGAAUGCCUAUGUGACGUCUGAGAGAUUACAAACUACCCUCUAUUUGUACAAGUACCCACGAAGUAAGAAGAUGAUGAAUUGUACAAGUUUAUUAUAGAAAUUAAAAUAAUAUAGUAACUUAAAUAAGUCUGGUUCUGUAUUUGUAUUGGAAUGCAAUAUAUUUUGUUUUAGAAUUUGCUUAGUCAGAUGGGCAGUCACUAUUAUUAUAUAUUGACUAUUCCAUAUCAAUACAAAUGUGGAACCCGUAGCAACAGUACAUAAAAGUAUUUAUUUUUACACAAAUACAAGCCGUGAUACAUACUUGUAGUCUUUAUAUACCGUGUUACAUACUGUCUUCUUACUUCUGUUUGAGAAUAGCGCCAUCUAGCGGACAAAAGUGGCAACUUUACCCUUUUAUAGUCAUACUGGGUUUCACCCGUUUUCUGAAGGAGCUACUUCCUGUAACUGGAUGAAAAGUAGCCUUAGGCCCAAGUUAACUAACAAAAUAAACGUCGGGUUUCGUAAAACAACUGUUUAGUUUGUCAGUUGGCGUCAAAGUAAACAGUUGUUUUAAGAAAAGCGGAUGUUUACUUCAUCGAAAUUAUUUUGCAUAAUGAAUUAGCAGUUCCUAAAUUAAUGCGUUCAAACAAAAUCUUCAGCUUUAUAAUGUUAGUAUAGAGAAGGCAUUACCUAUCUAAGGGUAUGGGUUGCCCGGGUAACUGGGUUGAGGAGGUCAGAUAGGCGGUCGCUCCUUGUGGCACACUGGUACUCAGCUGCAUGCGGUUAGACUGGAAGCCGACACCAACAUAGUUGGGAAAAGGCUCGGAGGAUGAUGAGAAGGUGUUACUGUUGUGUACUUUGUCAACUAGAUGGCGCUGCAAUAAAAUUGUGAUUAUGAUUCUGGUCGCGAGAUGGCGUUGUUGUUUAUAUAAAUCUGUUGUGUUUGAAACUUUGUCAAUGCAAUAAUGUGGCUUUGGAUAGUAUACGUUGGUGAGAGGACAUAUUAUUGAAAAUUAUAACGAUUAUUUAGGCAAUAUUAGUAAAAUUCACUAAAUUAUUUUACACAGAUUUCAUGUUAAAAUUACCAAGUAUGGUUAGUAAAUUACAGGCUGUGAUCUUUGGCAGUCGUUACGGGUAGUCAGAAGCCAGUAAGUCUGACAACCAGUCUUACCAAGGGGUAUUGAGUUGUCCGGGUGACUGGGUUUAGGAAACCAGAUAGGCAGUCGCUUCUUGUGGCACACUGGUACCCAGCUGCAUCCGGUUAGACUGGAAGCCGACCCCAACAUAGUUGGGAAAAGGCUAGGCAGAUGGUAAGGAGACAAACUGGCUAUAUCAGUAGCCAAUCAAAGUCUUAACCGUUAAACUAUUGUAAAAAAUUAAUAUAAAAUACUGUCUUUUCACCAAGAUAUAUUAUUCAAGUUGCAAAUAGUAGUUACAGAUGUCGUUAGAUAGCUUAAAAUGUAUGUUUUAGUAUUAAAUAUAAUAAUUUUAUUAAUUUAUUAUUAUACUAUAUUUGUACCGUGCAGUUUCGUGGUUUUUCCUACUAGUAACAUUUGAAAUUUCACCUAAAUACAACGUAGUUGGAUCGUAGUAUGUGGGCCGAAGUUGCAAAGCUAGGAAAAAUACAUAGGGUUAUAUUCGUUGAAAUGGCCCAAAAAAGGAAGAAUUGUUGAAUAGGGCUAAAAUCACGAAAUUGCAUAAUAAUCGUUGCCAUUUUGUCAUGCCCUCCCAUCAUUAUUUAUUUACUAAAAAAAUACUUAUUACUAUAACUUAAAAAUAAUUGUUUUUUUUUGUCUAAUUUUAUAUAGAUAGCGCUUUUUCGAAAGUCUGUGUGUGGUUGUAAGAUAGAUAUAUUAUGCAUUUUAUCGAUGUUUAAUACCGGGUUUUUGUUGACGGUUGAUCUAAAGGUACGUUUUGAAUGCCAACUGGCGACCGCACGUGCUGUCGCCGCUUCGAUCCAAAACGGUAUCUUGUACUACAUACAAACCAGUAGUGCAGCUGCGGCCGACUUCAUGCAGUCGCGGCAUGUGCGGUCGACCUUUCAAAACGCACCUUAAUAGUUGCCUGUUUACGGUUUUUCUUUUUUUAAUGUUACAGCUGCAUUUUUUACUUUAUCCAAAAUUAAGUUUUUUAUUUAGCUAUGUGGCUUUGAAAUUUGUGAUUUUUGUAUUCGUACGACAGGCGGCUUACGGCCUUCCAUUAUUCUAUCUGUUGAUUGGUUAACUAUGGAUAGAUCGAAUAUUGGAUCGGCCGUAAGUUUAAUACAAGUUCCUCAACAACCGUUCAAGUAAAAUCAAUGAAUAUAGAAAAAGUAUGGCAUUUUCGUUUUUAUUUAUUUUGUAAUUAAUUAAAAUAAUUAAUGGGAAAUAAUUUGACCGCGGUUUUAAUGGUAUUUACGUUACUAAGCUCUAGUAAUAAUCAAGUAACCAUUGAAAAUGAUAAUUAUGGUACAAAAAGUAAAUUAAAAAUCAUGUUAUUAAGGUCGAUUUUUGAAUGCGAAGGGGCGAAGGUUGGCUGGCUCAUUGUUUUUUUAAAUAAUUGUAAUGCGAUAUUUAAAAGACCUCUCUGACGCAGUCGGGUAAUCAUAUGAUCUGCUGUUAUGCUUUUUAAGUGGUAGGAAUGACUUACCGUUUAGUUAUCAUACUAUACCCCAUGUGUGCAAGGAACAUUCAAAAUCUCACGUUUUUAGGACCAGCAGUUUCAGCUGUGCGAUGGUCUAUAACACACAUAAAGUCGUAUUAAGUAUUGUAUCAUAAUUUAGAUCAAAAACAAAAAACAAUGAACCAGUCCAAUCCAAGUAAUAUGGCGGAUUAGAAUAGUGUGUUCAAAAUAUAAAAUAAAUAAAUGAUAUAUAUAAAUAUAUAAUUAUAUGUAUGAAUAAAUAAAUAAAUAAUAUAUGAAUUGUUGAUGCUUACUGCGGUACAGAAGCGCUAAAAACUUAGCGUUAAAAAUAAAUAAACGUAAUUUUGUAAUUUCAUAGGGAUCCCUAAAUAUGUUCAGUGUGCGUAUUCAGAGACAAAUUUUUAAAAAUAAGUAUUAAUUUGUUUAUAAAUUGCAAAAGUAUUAUUUUAUUUAGUUUUUUUUUUUCAGAGCCCAGCUGUGGUUUAAUGUGCCUAUAACAUAGUGAAUUAUUAGAAAAAUAUUUUUAGAUAUAUAACUGUUGGCUUUUUGCCUCUUUUGAAGUUUAUUUCCCGUCCUCUCUAAGGUUAGUGCGAAAAGUAUUAAUUUGCUACAUAAUUCUCGAAAUAUAUUUAGUUUCCCAUAGAAAAUCUAGUCUUUAUUUAUGUUGUAGCAACAAAAUCAGUAUGUUUUUUUAUCUAUAAAGUUUCCUUUUUUAAUUGUACAGAUAAUGUAAAUUUUUGUUGUCAAUUUGAAAGUUUAAAUCUCGAAUGUUAAGCUAGUGAAUUGUCUAUGGAUACGCACAUGAAAAUGGUGGUAGCGUUUAUCUAUUUUUACAAAGUUUCUAACAUAGAUUUAAAGGACAUAGAUAGUUAGCUUGCAAGUCGCGGUUACAUCCGACAAAUAGUCAACGGUUAGUGUAAAAAUAUAGCUAAUUAUAUAUAAAUAUUGCCUUCUUCGGCUUUCGGCCUCGGCCCGCCGAAUUCGGCCUCCAUACUCGAUGUAAACGCGACUGAUAGCGUGGUUGUUUUUUUUUUGUAUAAUUUUAUCAUUGUUAUAUUGUUUUUAACUUAAAGUUCGCAGGAAUCUUAAUUUUAACCAAAGAUUUGCUAAAUCGUAGUGUUUCUGUAUUAAUGAUAAAUAAUUUAUUGUAAUAAUAUUAUUUAUAAAUUGUAAAAUCGUCGCGCGUCGGCUAUUUAUGUAAAAAUACGUAACAGAUUACUAUUAUAUAAAUAUAUAUAUUUAAAUGAGUAAAUUA